GCCAAUCAGCUUGCUUCUUUGCUGACGAGUGGCGGACGGGUGAGUAAUGUCUGGGAAACUGCCUGAUGGAGGGGGAUAACUACUGGAAACGGUAGCUAAUACCGCAUAACGUCGCAAGACCAAAGAGGGGGACCUUCGGGCCUCUUGCCAUCGGAUGUGCCCAGAUGGGAUUAGCUUGUUGGUGGGGUAACGGCUCACCUAGGCGACGAUCCCUAGCUGGUCUGAGAGGAUGACCAGCCACACUGGAACUGAGACACGGUCCAGACUCCUACGGGAGGCAGCAGUGGGGAAUAUUGCACAAUGGGCGCAAGCCUGAUGCAGCCAUGCCGCGUGUAUGAAGAAGGCCUUCGGGUUGUAAAGUACUUUCAGCGGGGAGGAAGGGAGUAAAGUUAAUACCUUUGCUCAUUGACGUUACCCGCAGAAGAAGCACCGGCUAACUCCGUGCCAGCAGCCGCGGUAAUACGGAGGGUGCAAGCGUUAAUCGGAAUUACUGGGCGUAAAGCGCACGCAGGCGGUUUGUUAAGUCAGAUGUGAAAUCCCCGGGCUCAACCUGGGAACUGCAUCUGAUACUGGCAAGCUUGAGUCUCGUAGAGGGGGGUAGAAUUCCAGGUGUAGCGGUGAAAUGCGUAGAGAUCUGGAGGAAUACCGGUGGCGAAGGCGGCCCCCUGGACGAAGACUGACGCUCAGGUGCGAAAGCGUGGGGAGCAGACAGGAUUAGAUACCCUGGUAGUCCACGCCGUAAACGAUGUCGACUUGGAGGUUGUGCCCUUGAGGCGUGGCUUCCGGAGCUAACGCGUUAAGUCGACCGCCUGGGGAGUACGGCCGCAAGGUUAGAACUCACAUGAAUUGACGGGGGCCCGCACAAGCGGUGGAGCAUGUGGUUUAAUUCGAUGCAACGCGAAGAACCUUACCUGGUCUUGACAUCCACAGAACUUUCCAGAGAUGGAUUGGUGCCUUCGGGAACUGUGAGACAGGUGCUGCAUGGCUGUCGUCAGCUCGUGUUGUGAAAUGUUGGGUUAAGUCCCGCAACGAGCGCAACCCUUAUCCUUUGUUGCCAGCGGUCCGGCCGGGAACUCAAAGGAGACUGCCAGUGAUAAACUGGAGGAAGGUGGGGAUGACGUCAAGUCAUCAUGGCCCUUACGACCAGGGCUACACACGUGCUACAAUGGCGCAUACAAAGAGAAGCGACCUCGCGAGAGCAAGCGGACCUCAUAAAGUGCGUCGUAGUCCGGAUUGGAGUCUGCAACUCGACUCCAUGAAGUCGGAAUCGCUAGUAAUCGUGGAUCAGAAUGCCACGGUGAAUACGUUCCCGGGCCUUGUACACACCGCCCGUCACACCAUGGGAGUGGGUUGCAAAAGAAGUACGGUUGGU
rnacentral:rRNA from 1 species